UACAGGGGGCUCGAGCGUUAGUCGGAAUCACUGGGCUUAAAGGGUGCGUAGGUGGCUCGCCAAGUGCUUUGUGAAAUCCCACAGCUCAACUGUGGAACAGCAGGGCAAACUGGCGGGCUUGAGGCAGGUAGGGGCCGGAAGAACAGUUGGUGGAGCGGUGAAAUGCGUAGAUAUCAACUGGAAUGCCGAUGGGGAAGCCGUCCGGCUGGGCCUGUCCUGACACUGAGGCACGAAAGCGUGGGGAGCAAACAGG
rnacentral:rRNA from 1 species